UUUCAGAGAUUAUCGAAAACAAUUCAUUGUCUGCUUUCACAAAAAAUCUUUCUGAAAAUUUGAGAGCUGGUGUCAAACCUGCUCCUAGUUUUCCCCUCCUGGAUUAAACUUUACAAGCCCAGGCUUUGCAAAGUCUUAUGCUAGAAAAGUUUUUAAAGUUCAUUUUUAUUUCAGGUUCUGGGACUUUCUCCAGCUGGUUCAUGUAUUGUAUUGACAUGAGAUAACCUGCAGUGGUCACAGGGAUCCAGGUAUUUGUGUUUCUUCGUAUUGAACUGUGCCUACAUGACAUCAUGGAAGGAUAAAUUCAGCAUUUCCCACAACCCAGAUCUAAUAGAGAAAGAGCUGGAGAAUGCAGUGAUGAAACUUCCCUUAAUAAGUUUUAUAAGCAGAGAUAUUCAAAAAUUAUCAGAGCCAACUGAAAGUAACUGCUUAGGAGUUUUGGAUACAUUUUGCAGAAAGCUGGAGAGCUGAGAUCCAGAAUUCCCAUCUCUACAGCACAGCUUGAUUGCCUGGCAACACAAACCUGAGGUGCUGUGAAGAGCAGGUCCUCAUUUGUGGGUUUAGCACUUUGGUGGGACUUUGAUGUUGGCUGCUUUGGCUGAGAGACCUUUGGAGGUUGUAUGCACAUAAUGACCAGAAUUUGAGACACCUGGAGAAUUUUUAUGGAAUUUGAACCAAGCAAAGGUGGAAGGAAGUGGGAAGAAUACCACCUGGGAAACUUUAAGGGUUGAGAGACCACAGACUUCCCAGAUGAAUACAAAACCUCAAGUUGCAUUCAUGAACUGUUGUAAGCAUUGCCUGAGGGUCAGGAACACAUCAAACCAAGGUUUUAUUCCAGUGGUUUUGAGGUUUGAGGUGAGCCUUGUGCUGCUCUGGUAGCAUCCUGAGGGGUGGAGUGUGGGCAAACUGUGAGCAGGAUUUAUUUGCUCCAACUGCUUUAUCCUGAACAGGGGAAUGAUUAUAAGGCAGCUUUACAGUAAGGAUAAAUGUUUUUCUGUCUUUUAAAUGCAUAUGUCAAUGGUAUAUUUGUUGUUGCUAGCACUAAAGUCUAGAGAAUAAUAAGAAAAGAAGGACAAUAUUGUAUUAUGGGUUUCUAUUUCCCACUGAUCUGUUAGAAAUAAAAUGCCAUUAAUUAUUUACAUAGCAAACAAAGAGUUGUAAAUGCUUAGAGGGAAAUGAGUUAAUUCACCACUCACAUAAUUUAAACUCUGUUAUAUAGUAGCUAAUUUGAGACCACCCAUUUUUAAAAUUGUGGUUUAGAGAGAUUAAAAAAAAAUCUUAAGAAAUUUAAUUUAAUCAACCCAAUAAUUAUUCUGGUUUGGCUCUCAAAUUUAUUUUUGUAUAAGAACUCUCACUCAUAACUGCCAGCUAUUAAAAAUAAUUUACUUAAAAAAAUCAUAGAAGGGAAAGUAAAUACCUAUAAGUAAUUGGUCUCUGUAAUAGAUUUUUCCCUAUAGAAGACAAACCACCCAAGUAUAUUAUUUGUAUUGUAGAAAAAGAAAUCUAUAUUUAAUUGAUACAGUGUUUCAAAUACACCAGCAAGAAAAAUUACAAAUAGAGAAGCUAUUUCAUUCACCUAUGUAUUUAUUUGCUUUUUAUACAACCUUCAUAUGUAUCUUCUGCCCCAGAAACUACAUGGAGGAGGUAGAAAAUUUUCCAAGCAGGAAAAGAAAUUUAGUUGAAUUUUUUUUUCCUUGGAAUUAAUAAAAGAAAAAAAAAAAUCUAGUGAAAAUAUAAAAAUAUGUGUUUAGCUGGUUCAGUUUCAUGUGGAAAUGUAAAAGUACUUCUUGUUUCAAAAAUUGCAGAGUGACUUUAGACUAGAGAAACACUGUGGUGGAUAUGUCCUAUUAGCAUGUCUAUUUUACUUCUGGGAUGAGAAGACUAAGUUAUCUUAUUGCUGCAUAUUUCUCCUGUGAGUGAUAAAUACAUUCAAAUCUCUUUCUUUAGCUCUUCUUCCUAAUUGGUUGCCCCAGGUUUUCCUUGUUCUGCUGAGAUUUUGAUUUCUUUUAAAUCUAACAAAUAUGUUGAUAUACUCAAAUGAAAGGUUUUAUGUAAAGGAAAAAGAUUUUUGCUCUGAAGACAUUAUUAGGAUGAAAAGGAGCUCUUUCCUUUUUGAUAAUCUCUUCCUUCCUUCCUGAAUACAGUUUUUAUGGCAUCCCAAAUAGGCCUCAAGGUCACAGUGUGAAUAAUCCAAGACUGGGACUUUGAACUGGUUUUGAAAACUAAGAAGCUCGGUAGCUUUUUAACACCUCCUUAUUUUUCCACAUGCCCCAGCACAUCUCAGCUUUGGAGCUAUGCAGUAAAGAACACUCCCAAUGAACUUUGGAUCUCA